UUUCACUAGCGCGGCGACCAAACCUUACACACAGUGCUUAGUUUUUUCUAACAUUGCUUUGGGUUGAGGCCUUGUGUCUCGGCCCAGAGGAUCAAAAACACAAGAUUUUAAUAUCUUUUUCUUUAAAAACCUUUAGUCAAGAAGUUUUCUUAAAAACAAAUCUUCAAAACUUUCAACAACGGAUCUCUUGGUUCUCGCAACGAUGAAGAACGCAGCGAAAUGCGAUACGUAAUGUGAAUUGCAGGUUUUCGUGAAUCAUCGAAUCUUUGAACGCAUAUUGCGCCCUCUGGUAUUCCGGAGGGCAUGCCUGUUUGAGCGUCAUUUCUCUCUCAAACCCUCGGGUUUGGUAUUGAGUGAUACUCUGUUAAACUGGGUUAACUUGAAAUAAUGUUGGCAAGAGCUGCUUCAGCAGAUCUUCCUACUGAACUAACGUUUCUAGGUUCUACCAAUUCGUUGUGUUCUAUAGGACAUGUUCUCUCUAGCUCUGGGCUCGGCCUAACAAUUUCACACAAGUUUGACCUCAAAUCAGGUAGGACUACCC
rnacentral:rRNA from 1 species